CCCCAAAUAACAAUGUGAACCCGUUUCAGGUAUAAAUAUUAGUCUCAAUCACAGACAUUCAAAAAUGAAUAUACAUAUAGCACAUUGAACACUCAAUAGGAAUGGUAAAUGCGAUUCAGUGUAGUAACCAGAUUCAGUGUUUGUUUUUUUAUGAGACACAAUUCAUAUACCAUAAAAUUGCUCCUUUUAAAACAUAUAGUGCAGUAGAUUCACAAUUUCAUGAAUCCCUGUUUGUUUAUUUUGUUUUUUUGCCAGCCCUGGUACUUGAACUCAGGGCCUGAGCUCCGUCCUUGGCUUCUUUUUGUUCAAGGCUAGCACUCUACCACUUGAGCCACAGUGCCACUUCUGGCCUUUUCUGUUUAUGUGGUGCUGAGGAAUUGAACCCAGGGCUUCAUGCAUGAUAGGCAAGCACUCUACCACUAAGCCACAUUCCUAGCCCUAUGAAUCCCUGUUUUUAAACCUUUUGUCAGCUGUCAGUCUGCCUACCUCGAAAAGCCUCUUCCCAACCAGACUACUCUUCUGCCUCAACAAUCUAACUUCUAAAUUUAAGACAAAAAAAAAAAAAAAAACCAUGCUGGGGGCAUAGCUCAAAUGGUAUAGUGCCUACUACAAAGCACAAAGCCAUGAGUUCAAACCCUAAUGGGGGAUAGGGGGUUAAAGGCUGGGAAACCAAAUGAACAAAUACAUACUUCUAUACACAUGUGCUUAGGGAGACAACAAAACAGACAACAGAAAAAAGAUUUCAAUAAAAUCUGGUCCCUGGCUGAGACUCACAAAGCAAUCCUAACUGUUUACACUCGUCACCAAAAGUGGCCCACAUCUAAGGCCGAAGAGACACUGACACACCUUGAAGUAUAGCUGGGAAUCUGAAUAGCACAGGACCAGUUUAGAGCAGCUGACUUUCUAAACUCAAAUUUCUACCCACUCACUGGUUUCCUUGGAUUGGGAUCCCUGACCCAGGAGUUACAAAUUCCAGUUAGGUGAACAAAUAUCCCCUUAAAUAUGCAAAUACAUGGGUCAAAGAGAUGCUGGCUUUCAUUCACACACUUCCGUGGAUUAUCACGUGAAUCAUAUUUAAGACUCAGAGAAAAGUAUGCCACAAGAGAAGCAUAUACCUGUGGAGUGUAGAGACCUAGGAAGCACAGAAAAACCUGGGGGUUACAGCAGCCACACUGCAGCUCCAGUGGCCAAGCCAGCAUUUACUAAUCUAAGAUUUACUCCAACUCUUCAUCCCACUUUCCAGAUUAAGAAAUAGAAGGCAGAGGUCAGCGACCUAUCUUAAGCAAGAAUAAAGAAGAACAAACAGGGCAGCCAAGAGGGUACCUCUUUGUUACCUGAGAAGGUGGGUGAGAGUUUCUUGAAAUGGUUGUGCUGGCAGGCCCAAGUCCCUUAGCACCAACUCCCUCGGAAAAGACUAGCUGCAUGCAUUCACCCUAGGAUAGAAGAAGCUAAUGCUACAUCAGAAGCACUGCAAACAAAACACAAAGGAAAAGGUUUUCUUUUAGACAAAUUAAGUUGCAAGAGUGCUACCUACUUUUUGAAGCAUUUCCAUUUAAUUCCUUACUAGCAUUUGGCAAGGAAAAAACUCAAAUAUUUUGUAUUUACUGAUGGAUUUCCUCCACUUGCUGCAGAAGGGAAGAGUGGAUCCAAGCAAUGAAUAGUUAAGGCUUUAUAAGACUUGCUUCAGCCUCUCCUGGAUUUCAAUCCAUUUGCCUGAGACCAGAAUUGGGCUCUUAUAAGGAACUGCCUCAGCCCUGGAUGUUCCUCCAGAAUGUAGGCUGAUAAGGCAAGAAAUCCUCAAAACAUCUAGUGUACAUGGUAACAUUUUACUGAACAUUUACUUUACACACGUUCAGAAAAUAGAGGUAGAUACAUACUGAGCAUUCUAUCAAAAUGUACAGGUGACUGUUAAUACAUACUGAGCAUUCUAUUAAAAUUUACAGACAGGUAAGACUGAAGCUCAAAGAAAUGAAGUCAUCUGCCCAAGGCCACACUAGCCAAAAUAGUAACCAACUCCAAGUCUGUGUUUCUAAAUCCUUAUUAUUCUGUGUCUUUUGUCCAAAGAAAAAUCAAGAAACAUCCACCUUUCAUGACAAAUCUUUUCAUUUUGUGUGUUUUUGUUUGUUGGUUUGUUUGUUUUUGUUACUUUCAGUUCAUUGCUCAUAACCAAGUUUUAAAUCUAUGCUAGCCACCAACUGAACUCAAGGCCUUUGGGCUUGCUAGGCAGGAACUCCAUAUGAGCCACAUGUUCCCACAAUAAGCCUUCUUAAUCAACAUUUGAUGGUUGAAUUCAUUACACAGAAGAUUAUUUCACAGAGCUGGUUUAACAACUCAGUUCCAAUCCACUCUCAAAAAUAUACCAGGCAAAAACAUACCUCUAGCGUCAAAGGUCUAACUCCAACAUUGUGUCCUUCAUCCUAGUCCUGGGAAGCACAGCACUGACCCACUAAAUUUAUAUUCCCCUUUAUUCUGGGUAUUUUAUACAAAAGUACAUGUUCUUU